UACGUAGGGUGCGAGCGUUGUCCGGAAUUAUUGGGCGUAAAGAGCUCGUAGGCGGUGUGUCGCGUCGGCCGUGAAAAACCUGGGGCUUAACUCUGGGCGUGCGGUCGAUACGGGCAUCACUAGAGUUCGGCAGGGGAGGACUGGAAGUUCCUGGUGUAGCGGUGAAAUGCGCAGAUAUCAGGAGGAACACCGGUGGCGGAAGGCGGGUCUCUGGGCCGAUACUGACGCUGGAGGAGCGGAAAGCGUGGGGAGCAAACGGG
rnacentral:rRNA from 1 species